UAAUUUAUUAAUGGACAGACUUGAUCCUUGCUGUUCUAUAUAGUGUUUGCACACGUUUCUGAUCGUGUCGUGUGUAUACGUGUAUACAAAUACUAGCCGGUAUCAUUCUGCAUACGAGUGCUGACAUCGAAACACGAACGUCGUUGCAUUUUGAACAAGUAUAUUUGCAAACUUAACAAUGCCUUGCGGAGGGUGCGCUGAUAAUUGCAAGUGCAGCACAUCGCAGUGCUGCAAGACCUGCAAAUGUGAUGCUUCCUGCUCUUGUCCCUGCAAACGGACCGCAGCAGGAGAUUCCGGCGACAAAACCACUACGAACUAACGCUCUAAAUGUAGUUUUUCGUUUAUAACAUCUAUUCAACAAUAAAUUUCUAUAAAUGAAAAUGUAAUACGCAUACUUCACUAUUUUUUUAUUUCAAUAAAUUUCGAUAAUAAUUAA